rnacentral:rRNA from 1 species
GAUGAACGCUAGCUACAGGCUUAACACAUGCAAGUCGAGGGGAAACGGCAUUGAGUGCUUGCACUCUUUGGACGUCGACCGGCGCACGGGUGAGUAACGCGUAUCCAACCUUCCCAUUACUGUGGGAUAACCUGCCGAAAGGCAGACUAAUACCGCAUAGUCUUCGAUGACGGCAUCAGAUUUGAAGUAAAGAUUUAUCGGUAAUGGAUGGGGAUGCGUCUGAUUAGCUUGUUGGCGGGGUAACGGCCCACCAAGGCUACGAUCAGUAGGGGUUCUGAGAGGAAGGUCCCCCACAUUGGAACUGAGACACGGUCCAAACUCCUACGGGAGGCAGCAGUGAGGAAUAGUGGUCAAUGGACGGAAGUCUGAACCAGCCAAGUAGCGUGCAGGAUGACGGCCCUAUGGGUUGUAAACUACUUUUGUAUGGGGAUAAAGUUAGGGACGUGUCCCUAUUUGCAGGUACCAUACGAAUAAGGACCGGCUAAUUCCGUG